GCGCACGUCGCGUGGGCGGAGGCCGCCAGCGCUCGCACCGGUGGUCAGAUUCCCGCGAGCUGGUGGAUGGAGUUCGACCCCUUCGGGGGCACC
rnacentral:tRNA from 1 species